UGUCCAGGAGCACGAUGACACUGUGUGUGUCUUCAUCACCUCGACGCAUGGUGGAAGCAAGAUCUGGUUUUCUCCAAUAACAUGGGGAAGAAAAUUGAUCCAGUGAUCACAAAGUGCAAGGAGAGUGACAACUGGACCAAGGUGACUUUUAAGCCAGAUUUGGCUAAGUUUAACAUGACACAUUUAGAAGAUGAUGUUGUUGCGCUGAUGAAAAAGAGAGUUUUUGAUAUGGCUGGAUGCCUUGGGAAUAUUGUGAAAGUGGAACUUAAUGGAAAACGAGUUCCUGUGCUAUUAAACUAAGCAUUUAAACCAAGCAAUGAGAUGCAUUUGAUAAUGAGAAACUUUUAGCUUCUAUGGAUAAGUUGAGGAAUGGACAAGCAGUAGAUAUUCCAAACUAUGACUUCAAGAGUUACAAAAACAAUGUCUUCCCGCCUAGAAGGGUAAACCCUUCAGAGGUGAUAAUUUUGGAAGGCAUUCUCAUUUUUCAUGAUCCCCGUGUUCGAGAGUUGAUGAAUAUGAAGAUAUUUGUUGAUACAGUGCAGAUGCUGAUGUUCGUUUAGCAAGGAGGAUAAGGCGUGACACAGUAGAAAAAAACAGGGAUAUUGGUACAGUUCUUGAUCAGGUUAGCAACUAUUCAUGUAAUUUUGUAAUCAUUCUUAUUGCCAAGAGAUUAUAUCUUUGAAUUUUUGGGCCUCAAUUAAGUUUAAAGUAUCAAUGAAUAUACCUCAGGAGAUGAAACUGCAACUCUGGUGGUAAUUAUGUUUUGUUACUUGUUAGUAAUGUCAAAGUGCUGUUUUUGAAAGUGAUCUUUGUGACGGAUGGUUUGCUCUUAUUAUUUGAUUAACUCUUGUUGUUUAAUCAUUUAUGUCACUCCCUUUCGCAAAAUCUCCACUCGAUAGGGUUGAGGGUUCACUAUUAGUCUCCGGUACUUGAUCAUAUGAAAAUGAGAGAAUAAUCUGAUGAAAGUAGGCUACAUUUUUCACCAUUUCAUUUUCUUAAAAUGUUUUUGAAACACUAUUGCUGUCUUGUGCCAGCAAAAUAGUACAGAAUGCCCCAUAACAGACCAAUUGCAAUUGAAAUUGUGAAAGGCAAAAAAAAAAAAAACAUAAGUUUAUAGCCUCUGCAUUUGCUUACAGUAGGAAACCUCUGCAUCUGCAUUUAGUAUACUGUUUUACUUUUAUGUUCUACAACAGUUAUUAAAGAGCAUUUUUUCUAUUAAUGAAAUGAUAGGAGUGCAAGACAUUUAGACAUAAAAAAUGAUAAAUUCAAGUCACAAAAGACAUGCAUAGUAUUCCCAUUACCCACCAAGAAUCACCCAAUACGCCACUGUUUUCUCAUUAAUUCUUCUUUUUAAUUUUAUUUUUCUUUCUUUCUAUAUUUGUAUUUAAUAAUAGUAAAGGUAGGAAGUAUGAGUCACAAGGGUGUGUGGCCUGUGGACUUAUAUAGCUCAAUAAGGCAUGAAAUGCAACCAACGCACAUGCAGCGCAGACACAAGAUUCUGAAACAGCCACAAGAUUUUGGAGAGGCCCCCCCACAAACAAAACCCAUAUAGUUUACUUACUUGACUGCCUUAAGAUCAGCCAUGACC